CUCUCAAAUGCGCUUUGAAAAUAACAAUUCCACACAGCUAAGAAAAUAAAAAAGAAGAGCAGGAGGAUGAAUUUCUUAAUCACUUGUGAAAAGUGAGUUCAAGGAAAUUUCUAGACGUUGGAAAUAUUUUCUUUUAGCUUUCAGUUCCAUCCAUUUAAUACAUUUUACUUUAUUUUCUUCUGCUUUUUAGGAGAGACAACUCUCAUCUCUCUCAAUUCAAUCAAUCAACCAACAAUCCACCCCUCACCCGACUGGGAAGAACUAAUCUAAUUAUAAGAAUCCCAAAAUUUGUGCUCUGUGUAUAUGAGCCAAUUCUCCAUACACCCAAAUUAUGUACAAUGUAAACUUGAUGGGUGAAUGCUCAUAUUAACAAUAUAACGAAAUACAUUCGAAUGUAUGUCAAAUAAAU
rnacentral:lncRNA from 1 species